GAUGAACGCUGGCGGCGUGCCUAAUACAUGCAAGUCGAGCGAACAGACGAUAAGCGUGCGCUUCUGACGUUGGCGACGGACGGGUGAGUAACACGUGAAUAACCUUUCUCUAAGACUUGGGUAACUUCGUGAGACCAGAGCUACUACUGGAUAAUAUAUUUAACCGCAUGGUUCAAGAGUUCAACGCGGUUUUGCUGUCACUUAUAGAUGGAUCCGCGCCGGAUUAGCUAGUUGGUAAGGUAACGGCUCACCAAGGCAACGAUGCGUAGCCGAUCUGAGAGGAUGAUCGGCCACACUGGAACUGAGACACGGUCCAGACUCCUACGGGAGGCAGCAGUGGGGAAUAUUGGACAAUGGGCGCAAGCCUGAUCCAGCCAUGCCGCGUGGGUGAAGAAGGCCUUCGGGUUGUAAAACCCUGUUGUUGGGGAAGAAAAACAGCGGGUUAAUACCCCGCUGUUCUGACGGUACCCAAAGAAUAAGCACCGGCUAACUUCGUG
rnacentral:rRNA from 1 species